rnacentral:tRNA from 1 species
GCGCGGGUGGUGAAAUGGUAUACACGUAGCCUUGAGGUGGCUAUACCCGUAAGGGUGUGGAGGUUCAAGUCCUCUCNNCACA